rnacentral:rRNA from 1 species
UACAGAGGGCGCGAGCGUUGUCCGGAAUCACUGGGCGUAAAGGGCUCGUAGGCGGCCAACUAAGUCAGACGUGAAAUCCCUCGGCUUAACCGGGGAACUGCGUCUGAUACUGGAUGGCUUGAGUUUGGGAGAGGGACGCGGAAUUCCAGGUGUAGCGGUGAAAUGCGUAGAUAUCUGGAGGAACACCGGUGGCGAAGGCGGCGUCCUGGACCAAUACUGACACUGAGUGAGCGAAAGCCAGGGGAGCAAACGGG